UCUCAUUUGUAUUUUUUCAAGAAAAAUCUCUUUCUCUCUCUUCUCUCUCCUUUGGUACUCUCUCACUCUAGUUUGAAUUCUUUGUUUUCACUCGCAGACGCGCACUCAGUGAUUGUCUCAACUCUCUUAUUUAUUGUUAACAACAGUAAUAAUCAUCAUCAGCAUAUCUAUCCCACAUUACACGCCCUCACUCACCCACCAAAAUUUCUCAUUCUCUCUCAAAUCCACUUUUCAUCGUACCAUCAUUACAUAAUUUACAUUACAGGUUUUUUUUUUGUCUCUUUUAACUCUUUCUCUUGUUUAUUUCGAUGUUUUACUUGUUUUAUGUUUCUGGGUUUUGAUUUUUUUUACUCCUGA